rnacentral:rRNA from 1 species
AUGGUGCUUGUAAAGUUUGUUCUUUCAGCAAUGCCAAUAUUCCUUCUGCUAGCUGUUCAUCAACCAAAAUGGGCCAACAAGAAAAUUGACAAACUACGUCGUGCUUUCUUAUGGGCUGGCUCCGAUGCCGUUUGUGGAGGCAAAUGCCUUGUCCGCUGGACCCAGGUGUGCUCACCCAUCUCCUUUGGCGGGCUGGUCAUCCAUGACCUACAAGCUCAGGGGCGAGCGCUUAAAGUUCGCUGGCUUUGGCAGCGCGCCACAGAUCCGGAUAAGCCAUGGCAAGGCCUGCAACUUCCUGUUGAUAAGCAUGUUAAGGCUCUUUUCAUUGCUUUUACCUCCAUCAAGAUUGGCAACGACAUUAGGAUCUCCUUUUGGCAUGAUCACUAG